UACAAUUAUUGAUAAAGAAAGUUCUGGAAAAACCCUGGAAUGCUGACGGUGAAUAGAAAGCUCGCACUGCAAGCUGGAAAAUGUCAUACCAAAGUGAAACGUCGCCUUGAGUGCUGCUAGGCUGGGAGUCCAAGUGCAAACGCCCCCAGAAUGCAAGGACAUAAAUCUUCCCAUGGAGCCAGUGUGUGACGGCUCUUGCCAAAAAAGAAGCGGGUCCUGAGGAGCGAGAGGCAUGCAGAGACUCAACACAGGAGGAUCCACAGGUUAUUCUCUGGGCUUCUACGGCCUUCAUUCGAGAGGACAGCCUGAAGACAGAAAAGUGGAGAGAAGGGAGGGAUGACAUGCAGCAAAGGGCCAUGGGUCGGACCCCAACCCAUGUCCCCUGCCAAGGAACCAGCCCACAUGGGGCGCACCCUCCACUGGGUGAGUCAGAGGCUGCACCCUGACUAAA